CCUCCAAGCAACGUGGAUUAUGAAAGGCCACGUAGCAAAUGAUACUUGGACUGUAGAAAAUUUUUAUGUAGGUCCUUCGGUUAAAAAAUUUAACGCUCCAUUUUGAUAUAUUCAAGGACAAUAAAGAGUUCAACGAUCUUGUCGUGAAUUUUGCGAAUGAACAUUGGCCGUCAUUAUAUCGAAUAAUAUUGCCGACAGCAGUCGAAGUAUGGAACCCGUGGUUGUGUGAUUUGGCCAAUAGCUUCUUUUCGAAAGUUUCUUUUACGAAAAUAUUUCCAUAAUACUUAUAUACUUUUUAAGAUAUUUAUUAAAAGAUAAAUUUAGACUUUGCAAAAAAUUGAGUAUACGUUCAAAUGCAAAAAUUAGGUCAAAUAAUAAAAAUGUUAGAUUUCAUAAAUUGUAAGUUACAUUUAAGUAAUCGACACAUUGUAAGUUAAUGUUUAAUUGUAUAUCUCGCACGGUUAAAAGAAUCUAUAGUAACAUUAGCAUAAUAAACAUGUAAUAAGAACUCGUACAUGUAUAUGGUUACAUGUUCAGUUACAAUUACACAUUGUAUAACUUAGUAAUAUGCACAUUUAAAGAAAAAUACGUUAUAACAAGUUUUUUAGUCUGCUCUCUAGUCUGUAUUCUUCUAUACAUAUUGUCACAAAUACAUUGUUAAAAAGACCUUGACGACUGGAACUAUAUAAAAUCAACGCUUAUGGCUGCAUUAUUCAAGAAUAAACUUUCCACAAACAAGAUGUUCUACGCACUUUGUACAUUUAUCGUUCUAGUGUUUGGAUUUAGCGCAGCAGAAGAAGUGCUUCUUCCACCUAUCACCCUCUGUAAAUGGAAUUCAGUUAAUUGAAGACGCCCCGUUUGACUUGACGUCUUUAUGCAGAGAUCAACAUCGCUCUUCUUCAUCAGUCUUGAUUGAGAUAAAUAUGUUGAAAGUAAAAAUGACAUAAAAUCAGCUUUUAUGGUCGAUUGAACUAUUCAUCGAACGUGUUUAAUAUUGUAAUCUUCGGAUUAUAUACAGCGAAAAAAAAGAGAAAAAAACACACGUCU